AUUGAACGCUGGCGGCAGGCUUAACACAUGCAAGUCGAGCGAGCGGCGGACGGGUGAGUAAUGUCUGGGAAACUGCCUGAAGGAGGGGGAUAAAUACUGGAAACGGUAGCUAAUACCGCAUACCAUCAGAUGUGCCCAGAUGGGAUUAGCUAGUAGGUGGGGUAAUGGCUCACCUAGGCGACGAUCACUAGCUGGUCUGAGAGGAUGACCAGCCACACUUGAACUGAUACACGUUCCAGACUCCUACACGAGGCAGCAGUGGGGUCUAUUGCACAAUGUGCGCAAGCCUGAUGCAGCCAUGCCGCGUUUGUGAAGAAGGCCUUCGGGUUGUAAAGCACUUUCCGCGAGGAGGCGUUACUCGCAGAAGAAGCACCGGCUAACUCCGUGCCAGCAGCCGCGGUAAUUC
rnacentral:rRNA from 1 species